rnacentral:rRNA from 1 species
UACCAGCUCUCCGAGUGGUAGGGAUGAUUAUUGGGCUUAAAGCGUCCGUAGCCGGCUUAGCAAGUCUCCUGUUAAAUUCAGCGACCUAAUCGUUGAGCCGCGGGAGAUACUACUAGGCUAGGAGGCGGGAGAGGUCAACGGUACUUCCGGGGUAGGGGUGAAAUCCUAUAAUCCCGGGAGGACCACCAGUGGCGAAGGCUGUUGACUAGAACGCGCUCGACGGUGAGGGACGAAAGCUGGGGGAGCGAACCGGAUUAGAUACCCGGGUAGUCCCAGCUGUAAACGAUGCGAGCUAGGUGUUGGGGUGGCUACGUGCCACUUCAGUGCCGCAGGGAAGCCAUUAGGCUCGCCGCCUGGGGAGUACGGCCGCAAGGCUAGAAACUUAAAGGAAUUGGCGGGGGAGCACCACAAGGCGUGAAGCUUGCGAUUC